AAGAGCAGAGCAGGAGGAGGGUAAAGAGAGAAGGAGGUGUGGUUCAAGGUGCUGGUUUAUUAGCUGUAGUUAUCCCCAAAGCACUAUUUUGUACACAAUCCUUUCUAAUAUUCACAUGAUUCCUCCUUUAGAGGUUUUUCCUGAACAUAGAUAUCCGGAGAAUACAGCAAUUUCUGGAAAUAAUCAUUACAAAUUCCACAGACAGAAAAGCUUUAAAAAAAAAAAACCCUCCAACUUUAGAUGGCGCUGUUGAGUGCUCUGUGGUUCUCGGUUCUGCUGCUGCAACACUUCGAGCUCCGUCUGAGUGCUGGAGCUGAGACUCUCAGCUGUCCUGCACCGGCUGGAGUCCCGGGUUCUCCUGGACACAAUGGCCUUCCUGGACGAGACGGAAGAGACGGACAUCCUGGACCUAAAGGAGACAAGGGAGAGCUGGGUCUGAGUGUGCAGGGACCUCGAGGUGAAACAGGACCAAUAGGUCCAGCAGGACCUAAGGGACAGAAAGGAGAUCCAGGCAAUUUGCUGAACCCAUCAUCUCUACCGACAGAACUCGAACAGAUUAAAUACCUGGUUAAUCUGAUACUGCAAGAGCAACCCAAAGUGGCAUUCUGGGCCACACUCUCCUCCCCUGCAGAUCCUUACAGAAACAUCGGACCAUUUGAGGAUCGUCAGACUCUGGUGUACAAAAGUGCUUUGACCAACAUCGGUAAUGCCUACGACACAAAGACAGGUAUCUUUACAGCACCAGUUAGAGGAGUGUACUACUUCAAUGUUGUGCUCUUCAACGCAAACCCUCCCUCAGCUGGUGUGGAAAUAAUGAAGAACGGAGUGCUUUUGGCUGCAGUGACUGAUAAUCCACCAGGACAGGACUCUGAGGACACGGCAAGUAACUCGGUCACUCUGCUGCUCGAGAAAGGAGACCGGAUUUACAACGAGCUCCUGGUGAACCGGAAAGUUUACACGGAUUCUGCGAGACGUAAUUCGUUCAGUGGCCAUCUUCUGUACGCAAUGACCAACACUGAAUAAACAUGGAUACUACACACUGAUCUGGAGAUGUUACUAAUGUUGUCUUGAUAUCGAUAAAGUGGCGCAAUACUGCUGCUGAUUGUAUCCAUAAGUAUCAAAUUAUGAUUAAAUGAUUAAAGUUUAUAAUAAUUGAAAAGUCAAAAUAAUGGCAAAUUUAAAAAAGCAUGCAUGAAAACCGAGUGUCUGUUUUCAAUCAUUAAGAAAUGUUUGUACAACAUACAGCAUGAAAAUACAUCAUGCUAACUGGGUUUUGAUUAGCAGUGACAGUGUUAAACAAUGUUUAUUUAUUAGGGGGCCAAGCACAGAAGGUGCAUAGGCACCAUAUUGUUAUUCAACAUUUAUUGUUAUUCUUUUCUUCUUCAUCUGUUUCUGCUUCUUCUGGCUAUAGGUUGUCUAGGGCAGUCCAUAGAACCGUCUGGUAAAAUGUUGUGAAAUCUUUCACACUGAUUGGGGACGGGCUAAGGAACAUUUUGACCAAAUUUGGCCCAAAUGCUUCCAACGCUCUAGCGCCACCACUGGGUUAAAUUUGGAGCUAACUUGAAGUAUGUUUAUGGCCAUAACUUUUGAACCGUGUGUCCAAAAUGUAAAAGCCUCUCUGGAUUCCUUGGGUCGAGACAAGUUCAACACAGCCCAUCACAUCAAUCUCCUCCUAUGAAUUUUGUCCAAUUGUCAUGAAAUUUGGCAAACUUCAUCUUCUAUGUAAGUCUCACAAAAGUCGGCAAAAGAAUUUUCAAUAUUCCAAAUGUCCAUAAUGGACCAGUGACCAAGAAGUUUUCGUUUUUUCAAAUUGUGUAUUUUAACAAAAUCAGACACGAAAUAAGCAGUUCUAUUUCACUUCAAUAAGCCAUGUUGUAUAAGAAGGCAGGUCUGUGGAGUGAUUUAUGGGAAUGUGGGUGUCAUUGAGUCCAUGGCUCUUGACUAUAAGCUGCCUGAGGCUCCAAAGAAUGCGUGCUUUGGAUAGACAAACCUCAGGAGGUUGUGAGAAUAAAGAACUUGAAAUUAAGUGUGACUCUGUGUUCUUUCUGUUGGCCCAUUCAUCACAGAAAGACAAAACCAUACAAGGAAUUGAGAAAGAGAAGAGGUUGUAUCUGACAUUCUUCAAGGUGCAGUAAUGCCAAAGUACCCUUUUGGGCAGCAUCAUUUCUCAGUAAAACUCCCUCAGUUAGGGUAGUCUUCAGACACCGGUUUCUGAACCUGCACAUCUGGAAAAUACAGCAAUCGGUGGAAAUAGUUACAGUGUUGACAAAUUCCAAGGACAAAAAGCAGAAAGACAAAACCAUACAAGGAAUUGAGAAAGAGAAGAGGUUGUAUCUGACAUUCUUCAAGGUGCAGUAAUCCCAAAGUACCAUUUUGGGCAGCAUCAUUUCUCAGUAAAACUCCCUCAGUUAGGGUAGUCUUCAGACACCGGUUUCUGAACCUGCACAUCUGGAAAAUACAGCAAUCGGUGGAAAUAGUUACAGUGUUGACAAAUUCCAAGGACAAAAACCAG